UUUCCUACGGGACGCAGCAGUGGGGAAUAUUGCACAAUGGGGGAAACCCUGAUGCAGCGACGCCGCGUGAGUGAAGAAGUAUUUCGGUAUGUAAAGCUCUAUCAGCAGGGAAGAUAAUGACGGUACCUGACUAAGAAGCUCCGGCUAACUACGUGCCAGCAGCCGCGGUAAUACGUAGGGAGCGAGCGUUGUCCGGAUUUACUGGGUGUAAAGGGCGUGUAGGCGGAGCUGCAAGUCAGAAGUGAAAUCUCCGGGCUCAACCCGGAAACUGCUUUUGAAACUGUAGCCCUUGAGUAUCGGAGAGG
rnacentral:rRNA from 1 species